rnacentral:lncRNA from 1 species
GGCCAGGGUCAGCUGUCUCGCUUCCGAGUCCUGCGGGACGGGCGAAGCUUCUGGUGAGGGUGGUGCCGCCGGCCAAGGCCCACUGUCCAGAGGGAGGGCACCGGCGCCAGAAAGGUAGGCCAGGUCCUCGUGCUCCCCAGCUGCCCCGGCCGCCAUCGGCCAAGGGGCCUCGGGGGGCCAGGACUCUGUGGGGGGCAGCCCCCAGGAUGGAGGCCACAUCUGCCACCCUGAGUGUCCUGCAGCCGGCGGGCCCCCCAGAGGGACACGGAACUUGGAAGGAGCCCCCACGAAGCCAUGAGAGCCCGGGUCCAUGUUGGGCUGAGGACGCCCGGUGUCGGCGGGGCCGGGGAAGGGCGGCUGUCCCGGCACAGGCAGUCUAACUUGGGCACCUACCUACCACAUGUGGCCAGAAGCGUGCACAGAAAUACAGGCAACAGUGAGAGAGCUGCUAUUCCUGGGCAAAGCAGAGGGGACAUUUAAACCCUCCUCAGACGGCCAUGACCCGAUCACUGUUGGUCAGACUGAAGGGGGCGUGGGGACUCGGUCAUUAGUCUGCUUUUAGGCAUUGCUGUGCUGUGCCUCGGGCUCCAGUGGGUCCUCCGAAGGUGCACAGGUGUGGUCCCCGGUGUGGG